rnacentral:lncRNA from 1 species
AAAACACUCGGCAAAGACCCCUUUUUGCCGAGUGUAACACUCGGCAAAGUGCCCAGAACCCCCCCUUUUUUCCCAUUUUGCCACGUAUAAUGGACCCCUCUCAAUUCACAAUACACAUAUCACAGGCAUUUGUAAUAAACAAUCACAUGCAUAAUUCACAACCACAGGCAUAAUUCAUAAACACCACAGGCAUAAUUCAACAUAAGCACGAAACAAU